UUCAUUCUUCCAUCUUGAUAAUGACUUUCCUUGGGAACAAAGACUAUUGUAAAGCAAUUUUUUGUCCCAGAAGCACUUUUGUAAAGCUCAAAAGUGCUUUUUGUCCCAAAAAUACUUUUGAGAAGUAGUGCAAAACUGGCCUUUAAGACAGUCUAGGGGUAAGGGAUAUACAAAACAAUACAACAACAAAUAAUCACAUCUAAGGUGUUCUAUAAAGAUUUUGAGAGAAUAAUCCCACUGAAGUUGUUUCUUUUGCCCAAUUCUUGGCAGAGAUUUUCAAUCUGUGGGUGGGUGUUCUCUUUAUUCCUAGAUGAUGGUAUUAUCUUCUCCAUACCUUUACCAAUAUGAUUCUCAUCUUUCAAUGGACCAAAGCCUGCAAGCAGCAGCAGCUACUUCUGAAACCAUUUUAGAGGCAUCUUCAGCCUGAAGAAACAAAAAAUUAAAUCAGAAAAAGCACUGGUACUAGAGUUUUUUCGACUCCAUAAACAGGGUUGGUUAAAAAUUUAUAUAUAGGGGACACUUGGAAGUUCUCUAAUGCCAGUGUACCAAAUAAAGUACCCAAAAGAGAUACAUUUAUAUUUAUAUAUAGGCCAAUGAAAGAAGGAAGACCUACCAAUGAGCUACGGGAAUUCAGAAGUUUGGGUGUAGGUGGGCUCUCAAAUAAUAGCUGGGAUCUCAAUAUGGCUGGAAUUACAUAACAAAUCAAUAUUGAGGAAUAAACAUCAAAGCAGACAAUUUUCACUAUCACUAACCAUCCACAAAUUAACCGUUUCCUCCAGGCACUAUCUCUCAACAUCUCAAAGAGGAGUUCCACACAGAGUGAUUAAGCAGUAUCCCCUAAAUAUCCACACAGAGUGAUUAGUCCUUGAUUUAUUUAUCAAUUCAUCUUUCCCUCUGCUGUCUUUCUUGUUUCAGUUAAUUUUUACACUGAUGAGAAUUUUUUAUUCAUAUAGAAAAUUUUUGAAACACCAAAGUUUUUGUAAAAGGUUCUUAUUGUUUUCUUGAUCGAAGUUAGUAAAGCAUUGGUUAAAAGAGCCAGUAAGAUAGGGUGAAUAUUUUAUCAAAUGGAAAGAGCUACAACUUUUAC
rnacentral:lncRNA from 1 species